UACGAAGGGUGCAAACGUUGCUCGGAAUUAUUGGGCGUAAAGCGCACGUAGGCGGCAUUGCAAGCCGGAUGUGAAAUCCCUCGGCUUAACCAAGGAAGUGCAUCCGAAACUGCAGUGCUUGAGUACUUAAGAGGAUCGCGGAAUUCCCGGUGUAGAGGUGAAAUUCGUAGAUAUCGGGAGGAACACCAGUGGCGAAGGCGGCGAUCUGGGAAGAUACUGACGCUGAGGUGCGAAAGCGUGGGGAGCAAACAGG
rnacentral:rRNA from 1 species